GAAACACAUUUGGCAACAGAUGACCACGCAGCUUAUGAUUGGUGGAUGGAAUGGCCAUGUGACCUGAGACAGUCAGGAAACAGGAAAUGCCUGAAAUGCUACAGAUAGACAAUCAUACAUUAUUCACCAACAUGAGGAGUGCCUGCGGACAUCAUCUGUUUGCCCGGUUAGAAGUAUCCAUCUGUGCGUGCUGUAACCCAUCUGUGAUGAAAUCAUUUACUUUUCCACCUUGACCACUUAUUAAGCUUACUGCGGGGUUCGUUCUCCCAAAAUGCAGACGGACCAUUCCAGACAAAGCGUGCAGCGAUCGGUGGAGCGACGAAGGACUUCACCCGAUCAUCGAUGCGGUCGGCGGAUAGCGUCGGAUAGCGCGCUGCUAUCCAAGUCAAAGUCCUCCUGGUUGUGUUGCUGCAGCCAGUCGCUAAUACAUCGAUCCCAC